GCCGAGUAACUGCUUCCCUCCUCUAUUUACAAAGGUUUAGCCAUUUCACUCUCCAUUCAAACACUGUAUCAUUACGCUCGAGAGAUAGUUCGAUUUUUAAGUUACGGAAAGUUCAAUUAUGCUCAACAUUCUGCUGAUUAUUCUCGAAACAAAAUUUGUUGAAUUUGAAUAUAAUUUUAAAAACGGUGUAUAUUUAAAGUUCUAACUCAUCGAAAGUAUAACUGGCGGUCGAAUACUGAGUAAAAUUAUAUGUUUGUUUACUAAUACAAAAGUAGAAGGGAAGCCGUUCUCCAUAACCGGCAUUCAAAUUUUUCUGCACGUGAAGAAUUUCCGGCAUAAAAGCACUAAUGGAUUUUGCAUUGACAAGCUGCUGUUGCUAAAGGUCUUACAAGGGAAGGACGAGAUGGGAAAUCGAGUUGAAGAUGAGAUGCACUAAAAUGGAUGUGAAGUCUCGUGGCCCAGUUUCGACUUCGUGAAAAGGAGAUCUCGAAUUUGACAUCUACUCGUCGGAAGAUCCGUCCUCUCAUUGGUAUAGUGUGGAAGUUUGGAGAAAUCGUCCUAGUCAUCUGAUCACUACUAAGAAUUAUGAGUGCUCUCCAGACAAAAGUAGCAAAAACCAUAUCAAUCUGGUCGACUGAUAGCAGAGUUUGGGUUAAAGAUUCGACAACCUCGGGUUCCGAUCCAGUUUCCCCUAUCGAUGGGUAAUACAAAAUCCGUUAGAUUGUAAUUUUUUUUUCAAACAUGUGAUAUGGAAAUAUAAAUGAUAAUUAUAAAGCAAUUUGAAAAGAUUUUGUCAGGGUGUGCAGGCAAGAUAAAGGUUGCUAUACUGUGGUUUUUAAGAUUCAAAAAUGUAACUAAUUAAAUAAAUUUUAUUGUCAUUUUAAA